CCUACGGGUGGCAGCAGUGGGGGAUAUUGGACAAUGGGGGAAACCCUGAUCCAGCGACGCCGCGUGAGUGAAGAAGUAUUUCGGUAUGUAAAGCUCUAUCAGCAGGGAAGAAAGAAAUGACGGUACCUGAGUAAGAAGCCCCGGCUAACUACGUGCCAGCAGCCGCGGUAAUACGUAGGGGGCAAGCGUUAUCCGGAUUUACUGGGUGUAAAGGGAGCGUAGACGGCAGCGCAAGUCUGGAGUGAAAUGCCGGGGCCCAACCCCGGAACUGCUCUGGAAACUGUGAAGCUGGAGUGCAGGAGAGGUAAGCGGAAUUCCUGGUGGAGCGGUGAAAUGCGUAGAUAUCAGGAGGAACACCGGCGGCGAAGGCGGCUUACUGGACUGUAACUGACGUUGAGGCUCGAAGGCGUGGGGAGCAAACAGGAUUAGAUACCCCAGUAGUC
rnacentral:rRNA from 1 species